GUGAAUCAUCGAAUUUUUGAACGCAAAUUGCACUCUCUUCUGAGAGUAGGCCUGUUUGAGGUUCAGCCUAAAAAAAAUCUCCAUAUUUGCUGUUACGCGAUAACAUUCGUCUUAACUUGGGUCUUCUUAAACCUUUGAGUUUAAGCGGCUUAAAAUUUUGUUUACGAUUCCAAGAACGUUGCUAAGAUUUUAUUUUCUUAUAGUUUUAAGUUAUCGAUCUUUAUUAAACGUGUCCGUUGCAGGGGAUCGUGACUAUA
rnacentral:misc_RNA from 1 species